UAAUCUGCGAUAAGCGCCGGUAAGGUGAUAUGAACCGUUAUAACCGGCGAUACCCGAAUGGGGAAACCCAGUGUGAUUCGUCACACUAUCAUUAACUGAAUCCAUAGGUUAAUGAGGCGAACCGGGGGAACUGAAACAUCUAAGUACCCCGAGGAAAAGAAAUCAACCGAGAUUCCCCCAGUAGCGGCGAGCGAACGGGGAGGAGCCCAGAGCCUGAAUCAGCAUGUGUGUUAGUGGAAGCGUCUGGAAAGGCGCGCGAUACAGGGUGACAGCCCCGUACACAAAAGCGCAUGUGCUGUGAGCUCGAUGAGUAGGGCGGGACACGUGGUAUCCUGUCUGAAUAUGGGGGGACCAUCCUCCAAGGCUAAAUACUCCUGACUGACCGAUAGUGAACCAGUACCGUGAGGGAAAGGCGAAAAGAACCCCGGCGAGGGGAGUGAAAAAGAACCUGAAACCGUGUACGUACAAGCAGUGGGAGCACCCUUUGGGUGUGACUGCGUACCUUUUGUAUAAUGGGUCAGCGACUUAUAUUCUGUAGCAAGGUUAACCGAAUAGGGGAGCCGGAGGGAAACCGAGUCUUAAUUGGGCGUUAAGUUGCAGGGUAUAGACCCGAAACCCGGUGAUCUAGCCAUGGGCAGGUUGAAGGUUGGGUAACACUAACUGGAGGACCGAACCGACUAAUGUUGAAAAAUUAGCGGAUGACCUGUGGCUGGGGGUGAAAGGCCAAUCAAACCGGGAGAUAGCUGGUUCUCCCCGAAAGCUAUUUAGGUAGCGCCUCGUGAAUUCAUCUCCGGGGGUAGAGCACUGUUUCGGCUAGGGGGCCAUCCCGGCUUACCAACCCGAUGCAAACUGCGAAUACCGGAGAAUGUUAUCACGGGAGACACACGGCGGGUGCUAACGUCCGUCGUGAAGAGGGAAACAACCCAGACCGCCAGCUAAGGUCCCAAAGUCAUGGUUAAGUGGGAAACGAUGUGGGAAGGCCCAGACAGCCAGGAUGUUGGCUUAGAAGCAGCCAUCAUUUAAAGAAAGCGUAAUAGCUCACUGGUCGAGUCGGCCUGCGCGGAAGAUGUAACGGGGCUAAACCAUGCACCGAAGCUGCGGCAGCGACACUGUGUGUUGUUGGGUAGGGGAGCGUUCUGUAAGCCUGCGAAGGUGGCCUGUGAGGGUUGCUGGAGGUAUCAGAAGUGCGAAUGCUGACAUAAGUAACGAUAAAGCGGGUGAAAAGCCCGCUCGCCGGAAGACCAAGGGUUCCUGUCCAACGUUAAUCGGGGCAGGGUGAGUCGACCCCUAAGGCGAGGCCGAAAGGCGUAGUCGAUGGGAAACGGGUUAAUAUUCCCGUACUUGGUGUUACUGCGAAGGGGGGACGGAGAAGGCUAUGUUGGCCGGGCGACGGUUGUCCCGGUUUAAGCGUGUAGGUGUGUGUUCCAGGUAAAUCCGGUUCACUUUAACACUGAGGCGUGACGACGAGGCACUACGGUGCUGAAGCAACAAAUGCCCUGCUUCCAGGAAAAGCCUCUAAGCAUCAGGUAACAUCAAAUCGUACCCCAAACCGACACAGGUGGUCAGGUAGAGAAUACCAAGGCGCUUGAGAGAACUCGGGUGAAGGAACUAGGCAAAAUGGUGCCGUAACUUCGGGAGAAGGCACGCUGACACGUAGGUGAAGUGAUUUACUCAUGGAGCUGAAGUCAGUCGAAGAUACCAGCUGGCUGCAACUGUUUAUUAAAAACACAGCACUGUGCAAACACGAAAGUGGACGUAUACGGUGUGACGCCUGCCCGGUGCCGGAAGGUUAAUUGAUGGGGUCAGCGCAAGCGAAGCUCCUGAUCGAAGCCCCGGUAAACGGCGGCCGUAACUAUAACGGUCCUAAGGUAGCGAAAUUCCUUGUCGGGUAAGUUCCGACCUGCACGAAUGGCGUAAUGAUGGCCAGGCUGUCUCCACCCGAGACUCAGUGAAAUUGAACUCGCUGUGAAGAUGCAGUGUACCCGCGGCAAGACGGAAAGACCCCGUGAACCUUUACUAUAGCUUGACACUGAACAUUGAGCCUUGAUGUGUAGGAUAGGUGGGAGGCUUUGAAGUGUGGACGCCAGUCUGCAUGGAGCCGACCUUGAAAUACCACCCUUUAAUGUUUGAUGUUCUAACGUGGACCCGUUACCCGGGUUGCGGACAGUGUCUGGUGGGUAGUUUGACUGGGGCGGUCUCCUCCUAAAGAGUAACGGAGGAGCACGAAGGUUGGCUAAUCCUGGUCGGACAUCAGGAGGUUAGUGCAAUGGCAUAAGCCAGCUUGACUGCGAGCGUGACGGCGCGAGCAGGUGCGAAAGCAGGUCAUAGUGAUCCGGUGGUUCUGAAUGGAAGGGCCAUCGCUCAACGGAUAAAAGGUACUCCGGGGAUAACAGGCUGAUACCGCCCAAGAGUUCAUAUCGACGGCGGUGUUUGGCACCUCGAUGUCGGCUCAUCACAUCCUGGGGCUGAAGUAGGUCCCAAGGGUAUGGCUGUUCGCCAUUUAAAGUGGUACGCGAGCUGGGUUUAGAACGUCGUGAGACAGUUCGGUCCCUAUCUGCCGUGGGCGCUGGAGAACUGAGGGGGGCUGCUCCUAGUACGAGAGGACCGGAGUGGACGCAUCACUGGUGUUCGGGUUGUCAUGCCAAUGGCACUGCCCGGUAGCUAAAUGCGGAAGAGAUAAGUGCUGAAAGCAUCUAAGCACGAAACUUGCCCCGA
rnacentral:rRNA from 1 species